GAUGAACGCUGGCGGCGUGCCUAAUACAUGCAAGUCGAGCGAACGGACGAGAAGCUUGCUUUUCUGAUGUUAGCGGCGGACGGGUGAGUAACACGUGGAUAACCUACCUAUAAGACUGGGAUAACUUCGGGAAACCGGAGCUAAUACCGGAUAAUAUUUUGAACCGCAUGGUUCAAAAGUGAAAGACGGUCUUGCUGUCACUUAUAGAUGGAUCCGCGCUGCAUUAGCUAGUUGGUAAGGUAACGGCUUACCAAGGCAACGAUGCAUAGCCGACCUGAGAGGGUGAUCGGCCACACUGGAACUGAGACACGGUCCAGACUCCUACGGGAGGCAGCAGUAGGGAAUCUUCCGCAAUGGGCGAAAGCCUGACGGAGCAACGCCGCGUGAGUGAUGAAGGUCUUCGGAUCGUAAAACUCUGUUAUUAGGGAAGAACAUAUGUGUAAGUAACUGUGCACAUCUUGACGGUACCUAAUCAGAAAGCCACGGCUAACUACGUGCCAGCAGCCGCGGUAAUACGUAGGUGGCAAGCGUUAUCCGGAAUUAUUGGGCGUAAAGCGCGCGUAGGCGGUUUUUUAAGUCUGAUGUGAAAGCCCACGGCUCAACCGUGGAGGGUCAUUGGAAACUGGAAAACUUGAGUGCAGAAGAGGAAAGUGGAAUUCCAUGUGUAGCGGUGAAAUGCGCAGAGAUGUGGAGGAACACCAGUGGCGAAGGCGACUUUCUGGUCUGUAACUGACGCUGAUGUGCGAAAGCGUGGGGAUCAAACAGGAUUAGAUACCCUGGUAGUCCACGCCGUAAACGAUGAGUGCUAAGUGUUAGGGGGUUUCCGCCCCUUAGUGCUGCAGCUAACGCAUUAAGCACUCCGCCUGGGGAGUACGACCGCAAGGUUGAAACUCAAAGGAAUUGACGGGGGCCCGCACAAGCGGUGGAGCAUGUGGUUUAAUUCGAAGCAACGCGAAGAACCUUACUAAAUCUUGACAUCCUUUGACAACUCUAGAGAUAGAGCCUUCCCCUUCGGGGGACAAAGUGACAGGUGGUGCAUGGUUGUCGUCAGCCCGUGUCGUGAGAUGUUGGGUUAAGUCCCGCAACGAGCGCAACCCUUAAGCUUAGUUGCCAUCAUUAAGUUGGGCACUCUAAGUUGACUGCCGGUGACAAACCGGAGGAAGGUGGGGAUGACGUCAAAUCAUCAUGCCCCUUAUGAUUUGGGCUACACACGUGCUACAAUGGACAAUACAAAGGGCAGCGAAACCGCGAGGUCAAGCAAAUCCCAUAAAGUUGUUCUCAGUUCGGAUUGUAGUCUGCAACUCGACUACAUGAAGCUGGAAUCGCUAGUAAUCGUAGAUCAGCAUGCUACGGUGAAUACGUUCCCGGGUCU
rnacentral:rRNA from 1 species